CCUACGGGAGGCAGCAGUGAGGAAUAUUGGUCAAUGGUCGAAAGGCUGAACCAGCCAUCCCGCGUGCAGGAUGAAGGAGCUCUGCUUUGUAAACUGCUUUUUUAGGGGAAGAAAAAAACUUUUCGUAAGUUCUUGCCGGUACCCUAAGAAUAAGCACCGGCUAACUACGUGCCAGCAGCCGCGGUAAUACGUAGGGUGCAAGCGUUAUCCGGAAUUAUUGGGUUUAAAGGACGCGUAGGCGGUUACUUAAGUCAGGGGUGAAAGUUUGCAGCUCAACUGUAAAAUUGCCUUUGAUACUGGGUUGACUAGAGAGGUUUCGACGUGGAUGGAAUGUGUGGUGUAGCGGUGAAAUGCGUAGAUAUCACACGGAACACCAAUUGCGAAGGCAGUUCACGAGAAAAACUCUGACGCUGAGGCGUGAAGGUAUGGGGAGCAAACAGGAUUAGAUACCCUUGUAGUC
rnacentral:rRNA from 1 species